CAUACUAGCAGAAAAACGUGUCAGUCCAACCUCGAGCGUCAUGUCGUGUCCGCAAGCUUUGCUGUUGUCGUAGAUCAAAGCUUCUUUGAUCUGUGACGUCGGUUGCAUCGGCGCUGAUUGGUUGAAACCCUAAGACGCGCUCGUGCAUACAUGUGCAUGCUGACGUUGACUGACUGUUUUCGGCAAUUUUUCCUCAAUUUUCCAGGGGAAUUUUCACGAAAAUUUGAAAAGCCAGAAUUCCGGGAAGAUCUGGAGGUCUAUCAUCUCUAUUAAUCUGAGACUUCUUUGAGAAUCUUUGGCCACAAAAUGAGCAGGAAAAAGGUUUCUCAACAUUGUGGGUUCUUUUGUGACCAUUUACAUUUACCUUUAGAGAGAAUGUUCUGAACAGGCAAAAUGUUUCUCAGCAGUGUGGGUUCUUGGGUGGUGAAUUAAGUUUCCCUGACGAGAGAAUCUUUGGCCAAAAUCUGAGCAGGCAAAAUGUUUCUCACCAGUGUGGGUUCUGGUGUGUCUUUUUAAGCUUUGCUUGUGAGAGAAUCUUUGGCCACAAGCUAAGCAAGAAAAAGGUUUCUGACCAGUGUUGCUUCUGGUGUGUGGUUUUAAAGUUCCCUCUGAGAGAAUCUUUGGCCACACGUUGAGCA